GCUCCUCGCCCUCGCCCCUGGCUCCUCGCCCCUCGCCCCUGGCUCCUCGCCCUCGCCUGUCGCCUCCCGCAGCCCUUUACCUGUCCUCAAACACGUCCCUGCUGCUUCCCCCUGGUUUGGGCUGAGCCGCCCCUGUGAAUCCAGAGAAGGGAAGACACACGUCCCCUCCGCUCGGGGAGCUCAAAAUGGAGGGAAAGUGACGGACCAAACCCAAAGUGGCAAGACUUUGUACAGAGGUGAGGAAUGUUAGAGGGAUGAAGUUCUAGAACUGAGAAUAGUUGGGUGGUCUGAAUUACCUGGGUGCCAGAGAAGUAGUUCAAGGGUGACGUGAGAUGUGACAUGAAGGAUGAAGUAGAUGCGCCGAGAGAGAGAGAGAGAGAGAGAGAGAGAGAGAGAGAGAGAGAGAGAGAGAGAGAGGGAGAGAGAGAGAAGAGUUUGGGGACAAAGGGAGGCACCAUUCAGGUCAAGGUAAAUGUGACUGUGCAAGAGCCUGAAAGAACUGAUGAAUUUCCUCAAGAACCCAGAGGAAACAGUUGAUGGAAACACAGACAGUGAGAGGAAGGAGAGGGCAGUUUCGACUGGAGUCAUCAAAUGGAGCCCACAAGAAAAGCCCGUGGGUGGUGACAGCUUUUGACUUUUAUACUAAAUUCAAUGGGAUAUGACUGAAGUUUUAACGAGAUUAAAACCAUGAUCGCAAUACAGUUCUCAAUCUUUUACCUACGUUUCCAAAUUCAGAAAUCUCAGAAAACCAGAUCUUUCUAAGAAUUUUGAUGCAGAACCCGUUGGCAAAUCUAAUCUGAUGAGGAGCUGAGGACAUGGAGAGUGAUUGCAAGUCAAGAACCCUUUGCUCUGGACCUUGCUGCACCAUCACUUAGUGUUGUAGAUUUGAGGAAAAUAUUUAACCUUAACCUUGAAAUGAAGGCACUGCAAUCUUUCUGGUACUUCGAUAUGGAAAGUGAUGUGAUUCUCUGGACAGCCCAAGGAGCAGCAUCUCCUGGUGUCUAAGCUGAACUUCUUCCCGUGAAGCAAAAGGAGCAGUUCUCAACUUCUGCUGUGUAUAAGGAGUGUCAAGUAAGACUUUAUUUCCUGAAGAAGAGAUGGUUAAAUCGGUUUCUAGAAGAGUGGUUAUCAAUACACAAGUUCUACAGUUUCUGUUCUUGAUACAUGAAGUGAUAGGUUUGUUUUCAUUGAUAAUAAAUCAAAACACUUUUGGGAACUAACAAAAGACAUCAGAAGCACAAGCUUUUGUUGAACACAGGCAGGUGGAAAUUUGCAGCAUCACAAAAUGUCUUGAGUCCUACCAGUUAUCACAGAAUGGGACUCAUUUGUGGUAAGCCUGAAAAGUUGCAAUAUAUCUGGGAAAUCAGCAAUCCACAGAAUGUUAGCACAGAAUGUCCAUCAUUUAUCCAAGUAGUCUCAAAAUAUUCUCUGCAGUUCUCAGACAGCUAUGACCAUGAAUAUGGAACUGAGAAGUGAGAAGCAGGUCAGAAGUCCCUUUAUCUAAGAAAAAAUAGUAACAAUAAGAAGUGGAUAAAUGCGGCCAAUUUCUUCUACCAUGGAAGACAUGUAUCUUUGGCAGAAGACUGUCCCAUUUACAGGUCAUAUUAGCACUUAGCAGACUUGAUAGGACCCUCUCCAGUGAGAUCUCAUCAAUGAUGUCUUCUAUUGGGGAACUUUGGAUGAAGCCAGUCUUUAUACUGUGGCAUUACCUAAGUCAAUAGACAGGGCUUCUCCAACUUCUGAAUGUCAUUUUUUGACUCAAUUUUUCUGUGUUUUAUAAUACUUAACAUGCACUCUUUUUUAGAACCAGAAUGUUUGCUAUUGACUAGUCACAGAAAGAACAACUAGAAUUCUCAUAGGCCUGUCAUUAAUAUCAUAUGUAGGAAGAAUUUUAGUUUACUUUCUUUUUGUUCUAGGCCAUGUUUUAAUUGUACUAUGGCAAAAUACUUAUCUCUUAUCUGGUACAAAUACUGGCCAUAUUAUUUUUCAAAAUUCUGCUUUGUUGUUUCAUUAGUCAACUGCCCAUUGAUUCUUGUU